GAUGAACGCUGGCGGCGUGCUUAACACAUGCAAGUCGAGCGAACGGACGAGAAGCUUGCUUCUCUGAUGUUAGCGGCGGACGGGUGAGUAACACGUGGAUACCCUACCUAUAAGACUGGGAUAACUACGGGAAACCGUAGCUAACACCGGAUAAUAUUUUGAACCGCAUGGUUCAACAGAGAAAGACGGUCUUGCUGUCACGUAUAGAUGGAUCCGCGCUGCAUUAGCUAGUUGGUAGGGUAACGGCUUACCAAGGCGACGAUGUAUAGCCGACCUGAGAGGAUGAUCGGCCACACUGGAACUGAGACACGGCCCAGACUCCUACGGGAGGCAGCAGUAGGGAAUCUUCCGCAAUGGGCGAAAGCCUGACGGAGCAACGCCGCGUGUGUGAUGAAGGUCUUCGGGUCGUAAAGCUCUGUUAUUGGGGAAGAACAGAUGUGUAAGUAACUGUGCACAUCUUGACGGUACCUAAUCAGAAAGCCCCGGCUAACUACGUG
rnacentral:rRNA from 1 species